rnacentral:rRNA from 1 species
GGCGCAAGGGGAAGGAGAGCUGAGCCAAGCUUGGCCAAACCCCGGGAGAAGCGUACCGGCGAAGGUUUGGGAUUGGGCGUCUAGGAAACGAGGGGAUUUGGGAAGGGGGUUAGGGGGAAGAGGAGGCGGGGCGCCACGAGCGGCCACGCCCGUGGCGGGAGGCGACGAGACGGGCCGCCCUGCGAGCCGCAGAGCUGGGGGCGGAGUCGGCAGCGCGCACUCCACGUACAGAGUUGAGCUAGACUUCCUAUAUACAUCACCUACAACUUACUGUAAGAGAUACCUAAACUUGCGUAGUGGUAACGGACUUCUUCUCCUACUCGUCGGAAUACUUCUUGGUGGACCACUCCGACUAAUACGCGUACUCCUCCUUGUACAACUCAGACGACAACGUUGUAACGCUUCCCUCGCACUUCUCUCCGCCUCCUUUAACUUCUCUCUCGUGGUCCUACUUCCGAGUUACGUUGUGGGAGUCGUCUAUUCCUUACUAAUACGUGGAGGUUAGUUUCAACCAUCUCCGGCCUAAUUUCUCCGUGGACUCCCAACCAACCUAACAGGACGUAAACCACUCGGUUAUCUAUUUUAGUAUGGGAGGUUUCAAGGAGAACUACUUUGUAAGUUACUUAGUCAAGGAGGACCGUUUUCUAUAAGAAGGUUUGUUCAUCAUUUGUUCGUUUCUUUUCGACCGGCACUUUAUCCCGACCACUAACUAGACUGAUUAUGAAGAGCUAUAAUGAGUGGUCGUCUCACCUGUUUCGUUCCAUGAUUCGUAGAGUUCUAAGGAACGUUCCCUUCUCUACGACAUGGUCUAUUACUUAGACAAUUGCGUAAACAGAUACUCCACUACUACAUAGAACUUGCUGUUUUCGUAUGGUUCUGAGGGUUCAUAUAAGAUCAAGUGACAUGGGUACCAGUAUUAGCAUGUCCAAAGUACUAAUAAGUAAUGGAGUACGCAUGUGCGUAGAGAACACAACGACUCCGUUAUGCAUAAAAACGAGUUUCCGCUGGAGGACCAUAUAUAUUCUCCCUGAUGUAACUUCGUAACAUAAGUAAAAUAGUGCUCCAAGGACUCUUAUAUUAACAUUGUACGGGAAGUUGUGGUCUUACCUUCUCCGGAAGACUAGAACUAGAUUUACCACUUCGAUUCGGUCUACUACUACUACUGUUGCCACUACAAAGUGGUCAUGUAUUACUACAUCUCCUCUUUCAGUAGUGGUUACUACUACACGACCCUCUGCUACAUGGAAAACUAGUCGUUCUCCGAGACGCCUAGCAUACGAUAGCAAACGAACUUGAAGGGGGACGCUCUCCCGUACGUGUUAAAGGUCCUAGUGUGGGUCAGAGAGAACUGUCACUAUUAGACGUCGAUGAAUCUGUCGCUAUGAUAAUACGAUGAACCUUUCGACUGCCUUGGGCUAUAUACUACGAAUAUUACUCCCUACCAACAAAGAACUAACUAGCCUUAAAAACGAAAUCCUCUCAAGUCUACGCGAAAGGGGUAUCCUUGGACUUACUUCCAGGUGUACUAUACUGUAACUAACUGCCCCUUUACUAAUAUCUAUGUCAUGGACUAAGUCCUAACUUCUCCUCCAUGAAUCGCAUACUAGACUACCGUGAACUAAGUCACAGGUUCUGUUUCAACGGAAAGAGACUCUCCACCUCUAAUUAACUUCUACUUUAUUAGGCCGGUGCGGUAUUGCUCUCUUUUUACAAACUCUCACCACGAUUCUCGUUAGGUUACAUGUUUAUACUAUACCUCGAUAAAAGCCGGGCCUCUUUCCUAAAGACCGAAGACGUAUGUCGUUUUUCCCAUGACUUCCUCAAAUAGGGUAGUGAAACGGUACUACGACUACCGGACUAUAAAGUCCCGACCCUACUAGGAAUACAUUGAGCGUGGGUACUUCCAGAAGAAUUCACCUUUAUGGGACUUUACUUAAGUCAACUGAAAAACAAACUCCAACCGUUACUAUUAGCGGUCGAGCAAAAAGAAAUGCUCUCUCCGUUUUUCUUUGAGUACCUACCAAGAACCUACCAUAAAGGUUUACCUCUUCUAGGUAGUAGAUAGAGACCCUCCUAACAACUCACGAGAACCUUAUUCCUUGUUGUCACAACCCAGACGUACGCGCAAUCUAAGCUAUUUAGCUGAGGAUUACUAUAGUUGUGUAUAGCGUUCCAUUACUCCUCGUAGUGUCUGUUAUAUUGGCUUCUGUUCGAAGAUCUUCUCUAGUGACUCUAUUAAAGGGAGGGCUACAUACGACUAUCCUUCUUCCGACUACUUUCCUACCGGGUACGUUUCUACCGUGUUGUAGCCGCCUCUCCCGUCUACGGUGGUGUCAUCACAAUCGGAACAACCUCAUCACGAUCUCGCGGCGACGGGGCAGAGAGACCCGACCCGCAGCCGACCAAGGUAAUCGAACACAUUAAUCAUCUCCAAAUCCCGGCAUACAACUACCGGCCGGUCGGCUGAUUAAGAAACGUGAACAACACACGGGUGGCGGACAUAUAUCAACAGCGUCGUCUCAUCAGGACAUUUAGAACAUAGUACAAAGACCUAAGAGAGGAUACCAAAUCAAAGUACCCACAUCAUAUCAAUCAGAAAAUUGUUCUCUCCCUCGCACAAGUUCAGAACAGAACAUCAUAACGGUUUUCACAGGAUUACGGCUCCCACGUAACUCGAGCCCUUACGGAGAAUAAUAGGAUACAAUCCUAAUUAAUUACUAACAAUUAAUUCCCUGUUAGGGACGAAAAUGAUUGGCGUCUGUCAACGUAGACGGCGCAGCCAAGGGACGGCUUAUCCGUGGAGGGACUUGUCUACGGAAGGAUCACUACAGAGAAGGGAAACAUAUUUAUCGUCUAGAGUAGAUUAUUUCUCCUGUGGCAAAAGUAAUGAAGAGAGCAAGAUGAGAAUUGUGCAAUAGUCGUGCGGGAGACCGCCUCGCUAAAGUGCCGGUUUGACGGCCGUCGCUCACGCGUCGCAGCGCUACGGGAGACCGGGACGAACCGUUUCCUUCGGUUGCGAGGUCGUGAUCGUUUCCGUCGCGUACCGCGGCGCGUGUGGAGUUACCGAUAAGGCGCCGUUGCGCCACAAGGGCCGCCUUCCGCCGUGGGUACGCGCUGGCGCCCGAGGGCCGUCGCACAGGUGUCCUCGCUGGUUGCCGGUUGCGAACCUGGCCGCCGAGACAGGACGCGCUGUCAGUCCCGUCUUACUCUUUCUUGUCUCCAACACCUAGAGGUAGCUAAGUUCUUAACUUCCGGAGUUGUUGCUUGCGGUUACCUAAGGGUAGCUAAGUAACUACUUUUUCCUUUUUCCACUGUGUCCCUUCGAUUAAAAUUCCGAGCGUGUGGAAUUUCAGAUGCGACUUGGUGAGUCUGAGGAACUUACGUAGUUCAACUCCAUUCACCGAGAAGGGAGGUAACUGAUCUGAUAAGUCCAUAAGGUACCAAGAUUUUCUGUAUAGAUGUACUACCAGAAUUCACACACGAAAUAAGUGUGUUUUGGUAACCGAGUAAAAGGACUGUAGCUAAAGUUCUUUUAGCAUACCUAUCGUAACGUCUUAAGAGGAACUCACGGAAAGAGAUACCGGGAGCCUAACUUCAAAUCGUUAAACAGGAUUACAGAUCUGAGUUUUACCAAACCAUCUUAGGAAAUAGGUUUCUUCAAUCCGAGUAACGUAAUAGAAAUGAAACCUUAACGUUGAAUGGUUGAAAUGCAACCUCAGUACGUCAAAUGUGCGAGUACUGUAUUGACGUAUUAUAAUAAGGGGAGAUAGAAACUAUACACCUAUAGAUAGUUCAUAAAAGAUAGACGCCAUUAAGCCAACGUAUGGCUAUAGUGGUGGGCCGUAUGUAGUAACCGGGGAGUUGUAUAUCAACCCUAGAUACACUCCUUAUUGACAUCAAGACAGUUAUGGAGUUCGAGGAGCGUACCCCCAAUAAGUUCCGGACAUACGACUAAGUUACUCCUUGUAAAGGUCCGUAGUCCCCCUCUAAAGUUCAUGGUAUUUCUUACGGUCCUUUAAUCACCUUACAAGUUGUGUAAAAACGGAGUUUAGGUGCAUGAGUUUCUAGCUUUGGUACGCAAGUCUUAUAAACGUUGUGUAACGUUUAUUGG